AGUAAUGCCUAGGAAUCUGCCUGGUAGUGGGGGACAACGUUUCGAAAGGAACGCUAAUACCGCAUACGUCCUACGGAGAAAGCAGGGACCUUCGGGCCUUGCGCUAUCAGAUGAGCCUAGGUCGGAUUAGCUAGUUGGUGAGGUAAUGGCUCACCAAGGCGACGAUCCGUAACUGGUCUGAGAGGAUGAUCAGUCACACUGGAACUGAGACACGGUCCAGACUCUACGGGAGGCAGCAGCC
rnacentral:rRNA from 1 species